rnacentral:snRNA from 1 species
UAGAGUUUUUUAACCACACGA